AAACGGAGAGCGGCGAAAGGGAGAGUAACGAGUAGAUACGUACCCAAGGGUUCGGGAUAGCCAUGCGAAAGCGUGAGUAAUACCGAAUAAUGUCUCCGGACCAAAGAUUUAUCGCCCUUGGAGCGGUUUGCUUACUAUUAGCUUGUUGGUGGGGUAAAGGCCUACCAAGGCUUAGAUGGUUAGCGGGUGUGAGAGCAUGACCCGUCUCACUGGGACUGAGACACUGCCCAGACACCUACGGGUGGCUGCAGUCGAGAAUCUUCCGCAAUGGACGCAAGUCUGACGGAGCGACGCCGCGUGCUGGAUGAAGGCCCUCGGGUUGUAAACAGCUGUCGUAGGGGAGGAAAUUUUGACCGAUCCUAGGAGGAAGCACAGGCUAAGUUCGUGCCAGCAGCCGCGGUGAUACGAACUGUGCAAACGUUAUUCGGAAUCACUGGGCUUAAAGGGUGCGUAGGCGGGUUGGUAGGUCAGAUGUGAAAGCCCACGGCUCAACCGUGGAAUUGCGUUUGAAACCACUAGUCUUGAGGGGAUCAGAGGAGAGCGGAACUGAUGGUGGAGCGGUGAAAUGCGUUGAUAUUAUCAGGAACACCGGUGGCGAAAGCGGCUCUCUGGGAUCCUUCUGACGCUGAGGCACGAAAGCUAGGGGAGCGAACGGGAUUAGAUACCCCGGUAGUCCUAGCUGUAAACGAUCUGUACUAGUCCGUGGGGACUCCCACAUCUUCUCGGACGUAGCGAAAGUGUUAAGUACAGCGC
rnacentral:rRNA from 1 species